GAUAUGCCUGGGUGCUCCCUAGCUGCCUCAGCAGCUAAAGCUGGAAUAUCCUGAUUCCAAUGUCUCCCUGGGGAGAGGAAAAAAGGACUGAUUAUAACCCGGUUUGCUCCUUGUUGCACGCAUAGCUUGAAUGCAUCCGUGAUGGAUGGUUUCGCAAUUUCCAUGUGAGCAGGCUCCACUAUCCCAUGCCCAGUUCGACCUCUAAACAUCGCAACGAACUCAUUUAGCAAUAGGUUGGAUUCUU
rnacentral:misc_RNA from 1 species